CAGCAGCCGCGGUAAUGCGUAGGUGGCAAGCGUUGUCCGGAAUUAUUGGGCGUAAAGGGCUCGCAGGCGGUUUCUUAAGUCUGAUGUGAAAGCCCCCGGCUCAACCGGGGAGGGUCAUUGGAAACUGGGAAACUUGAGUGCAGAAGAGGAGAGUGGAAUUCCACGUGUAGCGGUGAAAUGCGUAGAGAUGUGGAGGAACACCAGUGGCGAAGGCGACUCUCUGGUCUGUAACUGACGCUGAGGAGCGAAAGCGUGGGGAGCGAACAGGAUUAGAGACCCGCGUAGUCCCUGUCUCUUAUAC
rnacentral:rRNA from 1 species